UGUGAGGGUUGCUGGAGGUAUCAGAAGUGCGAAUGCUGACAUAAGUAACGAUAAAGCGGGUGAAAAGCCCGCUCGCCGGAAGACCAAGGGUUCCUGUCCAACGUUAAUCGGGGCAGGGUGAGUCGACCCCUAAGGCGAGGCCGAAAGGCGUAGUCGAUGGGAAACGGGUUAAUAUUCCCGUACUUGGUGUUACUGCGAAGGGGGGACGGAGAAGGCUAUGUUGGCCGGGCGACGGUUGUCCCGGUUUAAGCGUGUAGGUGUGUGUUCCAGGUAAAUCCGGUUCACUUUAACACUGAGGCGUGACGACGAGGCACUACGGUGCUGAAGCAACAAAUGCCCUGCUUCCAGGAAAAGCCUCUAAGCAUCAGGUAACAUCAAAUCGUACCCCAAACCGACACAGGUGGUCAGGUAGAGAAUACCAAGGCGCUUGAGAGAACUCGGGUGAAGGAACUAGGCAAAAUGGUGCCGUAACUUCGGGAGAAGGCACGCUGACACGUAGGUGAAGUGAUUUACUCAUGGAGCUGAAGUCAGUCGAAGAUACCAGCUGGCUGCAACUGUUUAUUAAAAACACAGCACUGUGCAAACACGAAAGUGGACGUAUACGGUGUGACGCCUGCCCGGUGCCGGAAGGUUAAUUGAUGGGGUCAGCGCAAGCGAAGCUCCUGAUCGAAGCCCCGGUAAACGGCGGCCGUAACUAUAACGGUCCUAAGGUAGCGAAAUUCCUUGUCGGGUAAGUUCCGACCUGCACGAAUGGCGUAAUGAUGGCCAGGCUGUCUCCACCCGAGACUCAGUGAAAUUGAACUCGCUGUGAAGAUGCAGUGUACCCGCGGCAAGACGGAAAGACCCCGUGAACCUUUACUAUAGCUUGACACUGAACAUUGAGCCUUGAUGUGUAGGAUAGGUGGGAGGCUUUGAAGUGUGGACGCCAGUCUGCAUGGAGCCGACCUUGAAAUACCACCCUUUAAUGUUUGAUGUUCUAACGUGGACCCGUUACCCGGGUUGCGGACAGUGUCUGGUGGGUAGUUUGACUGGGGCGGUCUCCUCCUAAAGAGUAACGGAGGAGCACG
rnacentral:rRNA from 1 species